rnacentral:lncRNA from 1 species
GGAGCCGCCGCGAUGGCGGAGGACAGCGAGUCUGCGGCCAGCCAGCAGAGCCUAGAGCUGGACGACCAGGACACGUGCGGAAUAGACGGAGACAAUGAGGAGGAGACCGAACACGCCAAAGGGUAGGAGGUGGCGCGCGGGCGCGACAGGGCGGGGACCGCGCGCACCUCAGGGCUCCCGCGCCCGCUCGUGGCGUGCGGGAGCCCCUAGACCGGAGGCUCCGUUUGGCGGUGUCCUCAUCCCGAGACCAUUGUGAGGUGCAGGUCUCCCAGCUCUCGGGGAGCACGCAGUGGUGGGCGAGGGCUGAGGUGGGCGGGGAGACUGCGACUCGGGCCCGGGAACCCGCGACGCGACAGUCACCUGCCGCGCGCCCCCGCUGGCUUGGCCUCACCCUACCACGGCGAGUGGUUCGGGUGGGAACUUAGCAAGGACGCAAGGCCCUUCCCUUUGCGGUGGCGGCGUCUUGGACCGGCGAGGCGAGGGAGAUGCAAGUCGUUCCACUUGUGCCUUGGCAUCCUUCUAGUUCUUUCGCGCCCCCCCCCCCCAGCCGCCACUAACCCCCUGUAGAGAGGAAACCCGCAGAGCCGGCGGUGGGGGUGGGAUAGGGAUGCGCCUCUGGCGGUCUCGGCUGCUGGCGACGAACUGCGCAAAGUUCUGCCUCCCAGGCCGGGAAAGGGGCGCCGAGACCGGGAGAGGGGGAGGGAGACAGGUCUCAGCCGACGCCUGAGGGCGUUCAGCUUUGCGGCCUCUGAGCGUGCCCUCAGAGCUUUCUAGAGCAGAGCUGACGGGUGAACGGAGUUCCCGCGGCCCCGACCUUGCCCCUCCUGCAAAACUGGUGUCUGAUCUCCAAAGCCAAAUGCACCAAGUACUUUAACAUUUGAUCGGUUUCUCAAUCUAUGCUGCCCUCUUUUCUCCCCUACAGACUUGAUUUUUUUUUCUUCGAGAAAAGACUGCUUCUGGUUAAGGCUGGUAUUGAAGUUCUGUUUUAGAGGCGGGGUUUGGAGGAUCAUUUUAAAUAAAGACCGGUGUCCCUUUGUAGGUGCUGUUUGCCUCAGCCUUUUACCCUGUUGGAUUCAAACUAUGCGCUGGCACAGACUGUUACUGCUGCCCCUUAGAAGUGAGAUUCUGCGAACCAUGGUGACUGGAGAAGUGGGUCAGCCUAAAAACACGAUAGGGAAGCCUGAGUCACAGAUGGCUUAUUUAUUCAGUUCAUGGAGAGUCUUUAAAGUAUUUGUAUUUUAUUUCAACGUUUACUUUAAGCUUUAAGAAAGGAGGCUGUAUUGAUCUUGAAUACGUUAUCAGAUAUUAAAUGACAAAUG